rnacentral:lncRNA from 1 species
GCCCUUAAGUUCUUCUUGGAGUAUGAUGCAGGGUUUGCAUAUGUAUGUUUUUAUUAUUUCGGUCCCACAUUUGAUGUUGCAUUUGUUGUGUUGUAAAAAUAUUCACCUAUGUUUCAGGUUGGAUCUAGAAGUCUAGUGUCACAUAUACACAAUUCUCGUCGAAUUGUAAAUGUUUCAUUUUUUUUUUUUAACUAAUUCGGUUUCUUCUUCAAGUUGUUGCUUUGAAU